UUAUACUAAACACAUCAAAACAUAUUAUUGACGUUAAAUAUGGUUCGAAGUGGCAAAUAGGUCGGCAGCUUGCUACUAGAUGAAUGGCUUUUUUUUCUUUAAGACUAUAACAUGCCUUGUGUAGCUAACGAUCUCUAUAACACACCAGAUGAUUCGAGUCCAAGUGUUGGCCGCAUCAGUAUCCUUUGAUCUUUUAUAAAUUACAAUAGGAUGUAUAUUCUCUCUCGAAAUCAAUUUAAUCAUUCAUAUUUUAUGUAAGAAAGCAAUAGAACUGAGUUACCACUCGUUGUGGUUAGGAAUAGAGUUUCGCAAGGGUUUAUUUAAAAUGUAAAUUGUAAAUAAUUAUCAAACUCUGAACUGCAUGUCAUUUAAUAGCAGCAGAUGCCGGCUGAAGUUAUUUGUUAGACGGAAAUGAUAACGAACGACAAACAUUGAGAAUCACUAUCUGUUGACAAGUACACUUCUGAAUUGUUCAAUGGAAAAAAGCUAUAGAGAAGCUUGUCCAGGUUUUCAUAACACUGUGAAAUCAAUGAAAGACAAGAACUGAAAGAUGCUUUUAAAUAAAUCAUAUUAGACGUCUUAGUCAUGGCUUGACCACAAAAAUUUGGUGUCAGCAAUGAGUCAACUUAAAAGGAAGGGGAAGGCAGCCCCCACAAAUUGUUAAAGAGAAAAGACACAAUGAGUGGCCAAAUGACCUCCGCUUCUAUAAAAGAUACAUUUAUCAUCAAAAUAAUGCAAAAUAUUCCUUAACCAGCUGCACAUUGGAGAAUUUAUGUAUCAGAACACAGAACAAAAACUUCUAAAUUAAAAAAGUAAAAAUCCUAUAUGGUUGUUAUUUAGCAUUUUAGAGCAACACAAAAUGUUUUUUUUGGCAUUGUUUUUGCAUAAAAACAA